GAGCAAGUGAGGUGUAGUGAUUUUGAGUGCUGGACUAUGACUCUGGAGACCAGGGUUCAAAUCCCUGCUUGGUCA